GACGAACGCUGGCGGCGUGCUUAACACAUGCAAGUCGAACGAAGCUUGAUUACGGAUUCUUCGGACGAAGUAUGAUAUGACUGAGUGGCGGACGGGUGAGUAACGCGUGAGUAACCUGCCCUUCAGAGGGGGAUAGCGCUUGGAAACGAUCGGUAAUACCGCAUAAUGUAUUUUGACCGCAUGAUCGAAAUACUAAAGAUGUAUCGCUGAAGGAUGGACUCGCGUCUGAUUAGGUAGUGGGUGGGGUAACGGCCUACUAAGCCGACGAUCAGUAGCCGGACUGGGAGGUUGAUCGGCCACAUUGGGACUGAGACACGGCACAGACUCCUACGGGAGGCAGGAGUGAGGAAUAUUGCACAAUGGACGCAAGCCUGAUGCAGCAACGCCGCGUGAAGGAAGACGGUUUUCGGAUUGUAAACUUCUGUUCUUAGUGAAGAAUAGUGACGGUAGCUAAGGAGCAAGCCACGGCUAACUACGUG
rnacentral:rRNA from 1 species